rnacentral:rRNA from 1 species
CCUACGGGGGGCUGCAGUGAGGAAUAUUGGUCAAUGGGCGGGAGCCUGAACCAGCCAUGCCGCGUGAAGGCGAGUGCCCUACGGGCGUUAAACUUCUUUUGUGCGGGAGCAAUAAGGGCCACGUGUGGCCCGAUGAGAGUACCGCACGAAUAAGCAUCGGCUAACUCCGUGCCAGCAGCCGCGGUAAUACGGGGGAUGCGAGCGUUAUCCGGAUUUAUUGGGUUUAAAGGGUGCGCAGGCGGAUUUUUAAGUCAGCGGUCAAAUCGUGGGGCUCAACCCCAUCCAGCCGUUGAAACUGGGGAUCUAGAGUGUGCGAGAGGUAUGCGGAAUGCGUGGUGUAGCGGUGAAAUGCAUAGAUAUCACGCAGAACCCCGAUUGCGAAGGCAGCAUACCGGUGCACAACUGACGCUCAGGCACGAAAGCGUGGGUAUCGAACAGGAUUAGAUACCCCAGUAGUC